CCUGCAAAAAGAAUAAGUGAUAGAAAUACACCUGCAAUCCAUGACGUCUCAAGUAUACUACUUUUAAACUUUUCGAUUAUGAUCAUUUGUAUCAGACCAAUUGUAUAAAAGAAAUAUCCAGAUAAACAGUGUGAUCCAAAAUCUCCUACUACCACAAUCCAUGCCCAUCCACGAUCAGGGGUCGUUAUGAUCAUUUGAAAACUAGCUCCAGAUGAAAUUCAG
rnacentral:lncRNA from 1 species